rnacentral:rRNA from 1 species
UACGUAGGGGGCGAGCGUUGUCCGGAUUUAUUGGGCGUAAAGAGCUCGUAGGCGGUUUGGCAAGUCGGGUGUGAAAACUCCGGGCUCAACUCGGAGACGCCACUCGAUACUGCUAUGACUCGAGUCCGGUAGGGGAGUGUGGAAUUCCUGGUGUAGCGGUGAAAUGCGCAGAUAUCAGGAGGAACACCGGUGGCGAAGGCGGCACUCUGGGCCGGUACUGACGCUGAGGAGCGAAAGCGUGGGGAGCAAACAGG